rnacentral:rRNA from 1 species
CCUACGGGAGGCAGCAGUAAGGAAUAUUGGUCAAUGGGCGCAAGCCUGAACCAGCCAUGCCGCGUGCAGGAAGACGGCCCUAUGGGUUGUAAACUGCUUUUGAACAAGAGAAAACCUCGGUACGUGUACCGAGCUGAUAGUAUUGUUAGAAUAAGCAUCGGCUAACUUCGUGCCAGCAGCCGCGGUAAGACGAAGGAUGCAAGCGUUAUCCGGAUUCAUUGGGUUUAAAGGGUGCGUAGGCGGCCUGAUAAGUCAGUGGUGAAAUCUCUCAGCUUAACUGAGAAACUGCCAUUGAUACUGUCGGGCUUGAGUACAGAUGAUGUGGGCGGAAUAUGACAUGUAGUGGUGAAAUACUUAGAUAUGUCAUAGAACACCGAUUGCGAAGGCAGCUCACAAAACUGUAACUGACGCUGAGGCACGAAAGUGCGGGGAUCAAACAGGAUUAGAUACCCUGGUAGUCCGCACCGUAAACGAUGAUUACUCGUUGUUGGCAAUAUGACCGUCAGCGACCAAGCGAAAGCGAUAAGUAAUCCACCCUGGGGAGUACGCCGGCAACGGUGAAACUCAAAGGAAUUAGACGG